rnacentral:rRNA from 1 species
UACGGAGGGGGGCUAGCGUUGUUCGGAAUUACUGGGCGUAAAGCGCACGUAGGCGGCUUUGCAAGUUAGAGGUGAAAGCCCGGGGCUCAACUCCGGAAUUGCCUUUAAAACUGCAUCGCUAGAAUUGUGGAGAGGUAAGUGGAAUUCCGAGUGUAGAGGUGAAAUUCGUAGAUAUUCGGAAGAACACCAGUGGCGAAGGCGACUUACUGGACACAUAUUGACGCUCAUGUGCGAAAGCGUGGGGAGCAAACAGG